rnacentral:rRNA from 1 species
GACAGAGGGUGCAAACGUUGCUCGGAAUCACUGGGCGUAAAGGGCGUGUAGGCGGGAAGGAAAGUCAGAUGUGAAAUCCCCAGGCUCAACCUGGGAACUGCGUCUGAUACUGGAUGGCUUGAAUCCGGGAGAGGGAUGCAGAAUUCCAGGUGUAGCGGUGAAAUGCGUAGAUAUCUGGAGGAAUACCGGUGGCGAAGGCGGCAUCCUGGACCGGCAUUGACGCUGAGGAGCGAAAGCCAGGGGAGCAAACGGG